rnacentral:rRNA from 1 species
CAGCAGUGGGGAAUAUUGCACAAUGGGGGAAACCCUGAUGCAGCGACGCCGCGUGGAGGAAGAAGGUCUUCGGAUUGUAAACUCCUGUUGUUGAGGAAGAUAAUGACGGUACUCAACAAGGAAGUGACGGCUAACUACGUGCCAGCAGCCGCGGUAAAACGUAGGUCACAAGCGUUGUCCGGAAUUACUGGGUGUAAAGGGAGCGCAGGCGGGAAGACAAGUUGGAAGUGAAAUCCAUGGGCUCAACCCAUGAACUGCUUUCAAAACUGUUUUUCUUGAGUAGUGCAGAGGUAGGCGGAAUUCCCGGUGUAGCGGUGGAAUGCGUAGAUAUCGGGAGGAACACCAGUGGCGAAGGCGGCCUACUGGGCACCAACUGACGCUGAGGCUCGAAAGUGUGGGUAGCAAACAGGAUUAGAUACCCUGGUAGUCCACACUGUAAACGAUGAUUACUAGGUGUUGGAGGAUUGACCCCUUCAGUGCCGCAGUUAACACAAUAAGUAAUCCACCUGGGGAGUACGACCGCAAGGUUGAAACUCAAAGGAAUUGACGGGGGCCCGCACAAGCAGUGGAGUAUGUGGUUUAAUUCGACGCAACGCGAAGAACCUUACCAAGUCUUGACAUCCUGCGACGGUUCUGGAAACAGAACUUUCCUUCGGGACGCAGAGACAGGUGGUGCAUGGUUGUCGUCAGCUCGUGUCGUGAGAUGUUGGGUUAAGUCCCGCAACGAGCGCAACCCUUAUGGUCAGUUACUACGCAAGAGGACUCUGGCCAGACUGCCGUUGACAAAACGGAGGAAGGUGGGGAUGACGUCAAAUCAUCAUGCCCUUUAUGACUUGGGCUACACACGUACUACAAUGGCGUUAAACAAAGAGAAGCAAGACCGCGAGGUGGAGCAAAACUCAGAAACAACGUCCCAGUUCGGACUGCAGGCUGCAACUCGCCUGCACGAAGUCGGAAUUGCUAGUAAUCGCAGAUCAGCAUGCUGCGGUGAAUACGUUCCCGGGCCUUGUACACACCGCCCGUCACACCAUGAGAGCCGGGGGGACCCGAAGUCGGUAGUCUAACCGCAAGGAGGACGCCGCCGAAGGUAAAACUGGUGAUUGGGGUGAAGUCGUAACAAGGUAGCCGUAGGAGAACCUGCGGCUG